UUCAGCAGCCCCACCAGCCAGAACAAAACACUUUGUUUCAUCACCACUACGGCUGCCGAAUGGUGCUCACUAGGGAUGCACGAUUAAUAUAAAAUUGCGAUAUUUAACAUCCACGUCACAAGAAGCUGCGAUAUAUCGUUCUAGAGUCACUAUAGAUGGGUUAGCUGACAAUGUCACGAAAAUUAUGUGCACGCCUCCAGAGUGCAGAAGUCAGCGUGUUGUUGAAAUUCUGGAUGGCCAGAUUGCUAGAAAGAAUAAGAAACGGUCAUGUGGGGAAUCCGGUGUAAGGAGACGAACAAGCAGCACUUCAGUUUAAAAUUGUCUGGAGCCUGGUGUUGUGGCCACGGAGCUUUCACUCUGAUGGAACUAGGUUUCCGCUGCUGUGUAACAAUGAUGUCCUUCCUCCCAGAGAUGAGCAAGCAUCCUCUGGACUGGACACAACCAGGCAAAACAAACUGAGAAGAUAAGGACUUUUGCAAGGAAAAGGCCAUAGACAAUUACAUGUCCUGCUCCAAAGAGCAAGAGAGAAAUAUGUUCAGUUUGUUCAUAACAUAACUUGG